GGUCGCUCCCGCGAUGGAGGGAUGUGCGGGCGGGCUAGGAUUCCGUGGUUAAGCCUGUGGCCUCUGGAGCCGCGAGUUUGAAUCCUGGUUGCAGCUGUUCCACUUACUAGCUCUGUGGCCAUGGGUAAGGUGCCCAUCCUCAGUUUCUCCGUCUGCAAAAUGAAAGCGAAUUCUUAGUGUUGUUGUGGACUCAUGAGAUGAUGCAUGGAAGCAAGGGCGAAGUCGCUGUAGCUUUCUUUAUUUAUGAGAGAAAAGGAGCUGCCCAGGUGAGAGGACAAAAACCCGAGAAAACAGACCCGGAAAAGAUGGUUUUGGUUGCGGGCUAGGAAGGAGAUGUAGCAGAUGAAGCUGGAGAAGUCCGAAGGAGGCCUUAAAUUUUGCAGGGCCUCCUUGGUGUGGGAAGGAGUUUGGUUUCUGCAGUGGUGAAGAACCAUGGAAGUACCGUAUUUAGCAGGGGAUUUUGUGCAGGUCACUCAGCUCCUGCGUGGAGAAUAAGGCGGGGAUGGAUGUGCUAAAGGCAGAUCGAUGCUUAGGUAUUGCAGGACUAGAGAGAAGGGAAUGGGCACCUGGAUGAAAGGGUGAUGCGGGGGCGGGGGUAGACAAUAGUGGAUUGUUUUAAAAGAAAUUGUGAGGGAGAGGGAGUUAAGGAUAAAUAUUCUGUUUGAGUAACUGCAUGCAUGUUUGCACCUUUCAGGGAGAGCUAGGAAAUGCUGAAGGGGUGGGCAGUAGAGAGGCAGAUGUUUAGAUUCAGACAGGCUCCCAACCCAGUGAAGAUCAAAGCUGUGAUAGAAAGGAUCGCUGGGUCAGCUCAGCUGGCAGGCCAAGCCCCACGGUAUCUGAAGUUUCCCUGGAGGUUGCUCAGGGCACAUGGGAGUGUGGAAUGUAGCAACCAUUUUGUGCAAACGUUAGGGACUCCAUAAGCCUCUAAAAAAUUAGCAAUUGUAUGAGGACUCCGGACCAGAAGAAUGUGGCUAGCAUUCCAGGCAAGACAGGAUGGAAUUUUCACUGUCCUUCAACCAACUGAAAGGCUCCAAUAAAGUCUUGGGUAUUUACCCUGAACCAGCCAAGGCUUUGGAGUCACUGGCAGGAAUCCGAGUAUCUAACUGUUUUCAGGGCAGAAUAGAUGGGGAGGGUACGGCUGUGGAAGACACAUGCAUUUCCACUUUCUUCUGUAAAUGCAGCUCAGUGUUCCCGGAUGCAAUGAUAAAGAUGUCUAGGAUUUGCUUCAAAACAAAACAAAGGGAUGGGGAAGCAGAUGGGAGUGUAGAUGAGUCAAAAGUGGCCGCAAGUUACUAAUUGUUAAAGCCACGUAAUGGGGAUGUGGAGAUUCGUUGUACUGUCUCUAUAUUGUUGUGGAUGUUUAAUGGGGAUGUGGAGAUUCAUUGUACUGUUUCUAUAUUUUUGUGGAUGUUGAAAAAUAUUUUCUUCUUUCUUUUUUUUUUUUGAGAUGGAGUCUCCCUCUAUUGCCCAGGCUGGAGUGCAGUUGUGCAAUCUCUGUUCACUGCAACCUCCGCCUCCCGGGUUCAAGUGGUUCUCCUGCCUCAGCCUCCCAAGUAGCUGGGACUACAGGCAUGUGCCACCAUGCCUGGCUAACUUUUGCAUCUUUAGUAGAGAUGGGGUUUUACCAUGUUGGCCAGGCUGGUAUCGAACUCCUGACCUUGUGAUCCGCCCACCUUGGCUUCCCAAAGUACUGGAAUUACAGGCAUAAGCCACCACACCCGGCCGAAAAAUAUAUUUAAAAAGGUAAGAAACACACAAGACAAGCAGCUUGGACUUAUCUUCUCCAUGAUACCUACCCAGUAUCCCUGUGAGCAGCUGACAUUCCUUUCUCCAAGCAGUUGCUGUAUUUUGAACAUUGCUCGAGCAAGAAACUUUUUAUAAUGGGUUUAUUUAUCCAUGUCACCUGCUAUACUAUGUUUAUUGUAGCUCAGCAUGAUUUCCAGGUACCAAGCACAGUACUUGGUGCGUAAUAGUGCUAACUGAAUGUUGGAUGGAUGGAGGGAUUAAAAAAAAGAAAAACACCUGAAUAUCAGACACUUAAUAAAUGUUUCUUGGGAGGCCGAGAUGGGCGGAUCACGAGGUCAGAAGUUCGAGACCAGCCUGGCCAACAUGGUAAAACGCCGUCUCUACUAAAAAUACAAAAAUUAGCUAGGUGUGGUGGCAGGCACCUGUAAUCCCCACUGCUCAGGAGGCUGAGGCAGGAGAAUCACUUGAGCCCGGGAGGCAGAGGUUGCAGUGAGCCGAGAUCACACCACUGCACUCCAGCCUGGGCAACAAGAGUGAAACUCUUGUCUCAAAAGAAAAAAAAAAAAAGAAAGAAAAGAAACCACUGUUAUGGCUUCUAUCACUAUUGAUUUGUUUUUCCUGUUCUUGAACUUU
rnacentral:lncRNA from 1 species